CGCCUCCCAAGUUCAAGUGAUUCUCCUGCCUCAGCCUCCCAGGGCAAUGCAGGACAAGGAAAGAAACAAGAUGGUCAACCAUGCAGCUUCUGAGUCCCCAGCAGGUGGGAAGAGGACUACAUCUUGAGCACUAACCCCCGAAACCCCCAAAUUGAAAGAAGCUAAAAAGACCAAUUAUUCACUUGCUCCAACCUCCCCCAUGUUCCCAUCUCCAGCAGGUAGGUCAUGGACCUGUGAGUGAGAUCCAGUCACUUGACACUCCCACCUGGGUCACUGAACCUGGAGGAGGAGACGCAGAAGAGUGACAGGAGCUUCUAGUUGCCAGAGGUAGUUACACACAACUCUUGGUUCUCACCAUUUUCCAAGCCUACUUCUCCAGCCUUUUGGGCGAUUCUAUCAGACUCAGUAUCCCAAAUUCAGUGCAUUAACAGAAGUGUUUUCUGUUUUUUGCAAUGAGGAACUCUGCUACAACGGCAUUCAGCAAGACUUCAGAAAGGAAUACAAAGGAUUUGCUUUUUAAGGACCAAUUCACGUUGGGCAAAAUCUUAAGUCUUCAGAUCUUAUUAUUACUGACCUGCUGGGGACCCUCAUCAGCCUCAUUCUAAGACAGCUGAAGCCUAACCUCAAGAGAGAAAAGGGUCAAGAAGAAGUGCCUUCUCUGAUGCAUGCACUGGGCUUCAAUCAGGAAUUACACUGAUCCCAAAAGAAGCCUCCAAGGAUGCCAAGGACAAAUGUCCAUAGCUCUAGAUCCUAUCAGAAACAAAUUUCCCAGAAUUCAAGAAAAUGAAUACUUAGAAGGGUGGAGAAAAACCUCCUUUGGUCUUAAGCAGUAGCUGGGGGUAAUACAAUCAACCAUGUAUCUGAAGCUCACUUCAGAAUGAAACAAGGCUACCUGCAGCUUGAGCAAUACGAAACAGAUGCUCAUCCUACUGAGGUUAAUUACAGUGGCAAAAAAAAAAAAAAAAAAUUCCCCAGAUGAGCUUACUUUCCUAAUGUUAAAAGCAGUGUUUAUAGCUGAAAGCUAUGGCUUGGCAUUCUGCUUAAUUAUGUUGUAAAAGGGUGACUUUUAUCAAGAGGGCAGAAGAUAAAUAGCUUAAUUUCCUGACCGUUCUGGCUGUAAACCAAACAUGUCAGCAUGUGAAUGUGAUUACUCUAGCAAUAGAUAUUAACAUUGCCCUUCAUACAGAAACACCAAUUUGGUAUUUAUGAACACCAACCUCAUUACACAUUUUUUUCUGUUUUAAUGGGCUAUAGGAUGACAUUAUAUAAACUUUGUCUCGAUUACCUACAUUAAAUCAACUUUGCAGCAGCCAA